rnacentral:tRNA from 1 species
GUUCCAGUUGUGCAACGGGUAUAGUCACGUUCGGGCUCAGAACCUUGUGCUGGAAGAGUCCCAGGUUCGAAUCCUGGGCUGGGACA